rnacentral:tRNA from 1 species
GGAGAGGUCGCAUAGUUGGUCUAGUGCGCUGCACUCGAAAUGCAGUAUAGGGGCAACUCUAUCGGGAGUUCGAAUCUCCCCCUCUCCGCCA